rnacentral:rRNA from 1 species
GACGAACCGUGCGAACGUUGUUCGGAUUCACUGGGCUUAAAGGGCGCGUAGGCGGACUUGCAAGUCUGUGGUGAAAGCCCCCAGCUCAACUGGGGAAGUGCCGUGGAUACUGUGAGUCUGGAGGAGGGUAGGGGCAUCUGGAACGCUGGGUGGAGCGGUGAAAUGCGCAGAUAUCAGGAGGAACACCGAUGGCGAAGGCAGGUCUCUGGGCCAUA